GAGUGUGGAUGGGGUGGCUGGAGGAGAAACCAAACAAGACAUAACAGGGAGCCUUUUUAACUCCAGUUAAACUCCUGCCCACACUUAAGAAAAAAAGGCGCAGAUAAUUCCAGGCACAUCUUUCUUUCUGUCCACCUUCUGCAAUCUCAAAUCCCAUCUGAGGAACUGUCCUCUUUUCUACUUCCCUCACUGUCCGUGAUCUUCCUUCUCUGAGAAAAUAUUCUCAAAAGCAUGGACUAGAGGCCGGUGCUGACUUCUGAUAACUCCAGCUCUUGGGGCUAUGAGGGCACAGCCCAAAUUCCUACAGAGAAAACACCCGCCUUCCAGUUUUACACCUG
rnacentral:lncRNA from 1 species